rnacentral:rRNA from 1 species
UACGUAGGAGACGAGCGUUGUCCGGAGUUACUGGGCGUAAAGGGUGCGCAGGUGGCGGCGCGCGUGGGGGGUGGAAAUCGCCCGGCUUAACUGGGCGGGGGCCUUCCAGACGGCGUGGCUUGAGCAGCGGAGGGGGACGUGGAAUCCGGGUGGAGCGGUGAAAUGCGUAGAGAUCCGGAGGAACACCGACGGCGCAGGCAGCGUCCUGGCCGCUUGCUGACACUGAGGCACGAAAGCUAGGGGAGCGAAUGGG